rnacentral:misc_RNA from 1 species
AAAAUGCGAUAAGUAGUAUAAAUUACAGAAUUCAGUAAAUCAUUAAAUCUUUAAACGCACAUUGCGCCCCUCAGUAUUCCGUGGGGCAUGCCUGUUCAAGCGUCAUCUACACCCUUAAGCUCUACUUGGUGUUGGGCGUCUGUCCCACCUUCGCGCGUAGACUCGCCCUAAAUGCAUUGGCAGCGGUCCUUACUCCCUCCCACGCAGCACAUUACGCUUCUCGAGGCUGCGGCGGCCUGCGUCCAACAAGCUAAACCCCCCCGUCUUUAACCUCGGAUCAGGUAGGAAUACCCGCUGAACUUAAGC